CCUACGGGUGGCUGCAGUGGGGAAUAUUGGACAAUGGGGGGAACCCUGAUCCAGCCAUGCCGCGUGUGUGAAGAAGGCCCUCGGGUUGUAAAGCACUUUCAGUGAGGAAGAACGCCUGGUGGUUAAUACCCAUCAGGAAAGACAUCACUCACAGAAGAAGCACCGGCUAACUCCGUGCCAGCAGCCGCGGUAAUACGGAGGGUGCGAGCGUUAAUCGGAAUUACUGGGCGUAAAGCGCGCGUAGGUGGCUUGAUAAGCCGGUUGUGAAAGCCCAGGGCUCAACCUGGGAACGGCAUCCGGAACUGUCAAGCUAGAGUGCAGGAGAGGAAGGUAGAAUUCCCGGUGUAGCGGUGAAAUGCGUAGAGAUCGGGAGGAAUACCAGUGGCGAAGGCGGCCUUCUGGACUGACACUGACACUGAGGUGCGAAAGCGUGGGUAGCAAACAGGAUUAGAUACCCCAGUAGUC
rnacentral:rRNA from 1 species